GCAAUGAUGAAAACCUGGCAUUGAUCCAUUUGAGGUGAUUGAGCCAGUUUGUCCUCUAAGAAGUUCUGAGCUU